rnacentral:rRNA from 1 species
UACGUAGGUGACCAGCGUUGUCCGGAUUUACUGGGCGUAAAGAGCGCGCAGGCGGUCGAUCAAGUCGAGUGUGAAAGCCCCCCGGCUCAACUGGGGAGGGUCAUUCGAUACUGAUCGACUCGAAGGCAGGAGAGGGUAGUGGAAUUCCCGGUGUAGUGGUGAAAUGCGCAGAUAUCAGGAGGAACACCGGUGGCGAAGGCGGGUCUCUGGGCCGAUACUGACGCUGAGGAGCGAAAGCGUGGGGAGCGAACAGG